rnacentral:misc_RNA from 1 species
GGAGCUGUAGUGAAACUAUGAAUACGUGAUAAAGGACGAGUAAUAAAAUAUUAAAGAAAUGCACUUGGCCAAAAGGAGACAGAGCCCAUAAAGACAUUAAGUCACUAGAAAGGAAAAAAGCAAAAGCAAAAUUAUCAUGAAAUUAGUUAAUCAAAAGUAACGUCUGAAGAAUAGAAAAAUGCACAUAUGCCAAAAGAGCUAAGUCGAAAUGCCCAACAAUAAAUCUAAACUUGCAGCUUGACGAGUUUAAUGCAAACAGCGGACAAGAAAAGUGAACGGCAACACAGCUAUCAGGUGUC